rnacentral:rRNA from 1 species
ACGAACGCUGGCGGCAGGCCUAACACAUGCAAGUCGAACGGCAGCACAGGAGAGCUUGCUCUCUGGGUGGCGAGUGGCGGACGGGUGAGGAAUACAUCGGAAUCUACUUUUUCGUGGGGGAUAACGUAGGGAAACUUACGCUAAUACCGCAUACGACCUACGGGUGAAAGCAGGGGACCUUCGGGCCUUGCGCGAUUGAAUGAGCCGAUGUCGGAUUAGCUAGUUGGCGGGGUAAAGGCCCACCAAGGCGACGAUACGUAGCUGGUCUGAGAGGAUGAUCCUCAACACUGGAACUGCAACCCGGUCCAGACUCCUACGGGAGGCAGCAGUGGGGAAUAUUGGACAAUGGGCGCAAGCCUGAUCCGGCCAUACCGCGUGGGUGAAGAAGGCCUUCGGGUUGUAAAGCCCUUUUUUUGGGAAAGAAAUCCAGCCGGCUAAUACCUGGUUGGGAUGACGGUACCCAAAGAAUAAGCACCGGCUAACUUCGUGCCAGCCGCCGCAGUAAUAC